CAAAAACAUGUCCUUUUGUUUAUUGAUUUAAGGUCUGACCUGCCCAAUGAGGAGUUGAAUGGCCGCAGUAUUUUAACUGUGCUAAGGUAGCAUAAUCAUUUGUCUUUUAAUUGAGGGCUGGAAUGAAGGGUUGGACGAGGUAUUAGCUUUCUUUAAUUUAGUUAGAAGAAUUUAAUUUUUGAGUUAAAAAGCUUAAAUUUAUUUGUGGGACGAGAAGACCCUAUAGAUCUUUAUAGUUUAAUAUUUUAGUAAUUUAGGGAUUUAUGUACUUUAAGUAGAAGAACUAUUUUGUUGGGGUGACUGUAGAAUUUGAAUAACUUCUAUUUUUUAUUUUCAUUAAUUAGUGUUUUAAUGAUCCAUAUUUUAUGAUUAGAAGAUUAAGUU
rnacentral:rRNA from 1 species